AGUUGCCACAACUCUGACCAUUAUUCUAGUUUACCUAAAUCAUUUGCCAUUUGGCUUAUCCCUCCUGGAACAUCAACCCUGUUACAUAUCUUAGUAUCAUCAGCAAAAAGACAUACCUUACCAUUAAGACCUUCUGCAAUAUCACUAAUAAAAAUAUUAAAAAGAAUGGGUCCAAGUACAGAUCCUUGAGGUACCCCACUGGUGACAAGCCCAUGCUUUGAAUAUACUCCAUUGA